GGCUCCGUAGCUCAGUUGGUAGAGCGCUCGAUUGAAAAUCGAGAGGUCCCUGGUUCAAGCCCAGGCGUUGCCAC
rnacentral:tRNA from 1 species